GACGAACGCUGGCGGCGUGGAUUAGGCAUGCAAGUCGAACGGUAUCAUCCUUUCGGGGGUGAGAGAGUGGCGAACUGGUGAGUAACACGUAGGUUAUCUACCCUCAAGACGGGGACAACCCAGGGAAACUUGGGCUAAUACCGGAUGUGAGCAACUUUUAGUUGUUUGAAAGGUGGCGUAAGCUGUCGCUUGGGGAUGAGCCUGCGUCCUAUUAGUUAGUUGGUGAGGUAACGGCUCACCUAGGCAAUGAUAGGUAGGCGGCCUUAACGGGUGGUCGCCCACACUGGGAUUGAGAUACGGCCCAGACUCCUACGGGAGGCAGCAGUCGAGAAUAGUCUACAAUGGUCGGAAGACUGAUAGUGCGACGCCGCGUGAACGAUGAAUCCCUUCGGGGUGUAAAGUUCUUUUAUAUGUGAGCAGUGCUUCUUAUAUUAACAGUAUGGGGAAGAGAUAUUAGCAUAUGAAUAAGCAACGGCUAACUCCGUGCCAGCAGCCGGGUAAAACG
rnacentral:rRNA from 1 species